rnacentral:rRNA from 1 species
GAUGAACGCUGGCGGCGUGCCUAAUACAUGCCAGUCGAGCGAACAGAUAAGGAGCUUGCUCCUUUGACGUUAGCGGCGGACGGGUGAGUAACACGUGGGUAACCUACCUAUAAGACUGGGAUAACUUCGGGAAACCGGAGCUAAUACCGGAUAACAUUUGGAACCGCAUGGUUCUAAAGUGAAAGAUGGUUUUGCUAUCACUUAUAGAUGGGCCCGCGCCGUAUUAGCUAGUUGGUAAGGUAACGGCUUACCAAGGCGACGAUACGUAGCCGACCUGAGAGGGUGAUCGGCCACACUGGAACUGAGACACGGUCCAGACUCCUACGGGAGGCAGCAGUAGGGAAUCUUCCGCAAUGGGCGAAAGCCUGACGGAGCAACGCCGCGUGAGUGAUGAAGGGUUUCGGCUCGUAAAACUCUGUUAUUAGGGAAGAACAAAUGUGUAAGUAACUGUGCACGUCUUGACGGUACCUAAUCAGAAAGCCACGGCUAACUACGUG